rnacentral:rRNA from 1 species
AGAACGAACGCUGGCGGCAUGCCUAACACAUGCAAGUCGAACGCUCAUCCGGCUUCGGCCGGAUGGGAGUGGCGCACGGGUGAGUAGCGCGUGGGAACCUGCCCUGUUGUGGGGGAUAACCGAGGGAAACUUCGGCUAAUACCGCAUGCGCCCCGGCGAAAGCCGGGGGAAAGAUUUAUCGCAGCAGGAGGGGCCCGCGUCGGAUUAGGUAGUUGGUGGGGUAACGGCCCACCAAGCCGAUGAUCCGUAGCUGGUCUGAGAGGAUGAUCAGCCACACUGGGACUGAGACACGGCCCAGACUCCUACGGGAGGCAGCAGUGGGGAAUAUUGGACAAUGGGGGCAACCCUGAUCCAGCAAUGCCGCGUGAGUGAUGAAGGCCUUAGGGUUGUAAAGCUCUUUCGCCCGCGACGAUGAUGACGGUAGCGGGAGAAGAAGCCCCGGCUAACUUCGCGCCAGCAGCCGC